rnacentral:lncRNA from 1 species
UUGUAAAACGAAAAUUAGAUAUCCUGUUUUUUACUAAAUUCUUUCAAUUAUCUUUUGUAGUUGUAGAGGAAUGACCGGAAUUGGUCAUUCCGGGUCGGUCAAAUCCGUGAUAAACACAUUACAAAUAUACAUACAAAUUUUGAACCUCUUUCAUCUAAUGGCUGACUCUUAACAUUCCCGCUAUAGCUUCGGAUCUUGAAAAGGGCAUAUUAAAGGUUUUGGCAACUCAAAGGAUAUGCAUCUUCAAAGGGACUCGACUAUCUUUAAAUUGUAUUUCCACUUUGUCACUAAUUUAUCCCGGGAAGCAAUCCCGGGUGAUAACCUAGUUUCUAUUAAAUCAAGACAUUGA